rnacentral:tRNA from 1 species
GUUUCUAUUAGGACAGAGGUCUUCUAAACCUUUAGUAUAGGUUCAAAUCCUAUUGGACGCA